CAGUCGCCGCGGUAAAACGAAGGGUGCAAGCGUUAAUCGGAAUUACUGGGCGUAAAGCGUGCGUAGGCGGUGAGUUAAGUCUGCUGUGAAAUCCCCGGGCUCAACCUGGGAAUGGCAGUGGAUACUGGCUCGCUAGAGUGUGUCAGAGGAUGGUGGAAUUCCCGGUGUAGCGGUGAAAUGCGUAGAGAUGUGGAGGAACACCGAUGGCGAAGGCAGCCCCCUGGGCCAAUACUGACGCUCAUGCACGAAAGCGUGGGGAGCAAACAGGAUUAGAUACCCGAGUAGUCCCUGUCUCUUAUAC
rnacentral:rRNA from 1 species